ACGUAGGGAGCGAGCGUUGUCCGGAAUUACUGGGUGUAAAGGGAGCGUAGGCGGGAAGGCAAGUUGGAUGUGAAAACUGUGGGCUCAACCGACAGACUGCAUUCAAAACUGUUUUUCUUGAGUGAAGUAGAGGCAAGCGGAAUUCCUAGUGUAGCGGUGAAAUGCGUAGAUAUUAGGAGGAACACCAGUGGCGAAGGCGGCUUGCUGGGCUUUUACUGACGCUGAGGCUCGAAAGUGUGGGGAGCAAACAG
rnacentral:rRNA from 1 species